UCUCCCCAGUUCCUGGAACAGGGUCUGGCACAUGAAUGGUGUGUUCUAAAUAAAUAUUUUUAAUAGAUAAAAAAAUGAAAUAUCCUACAAGAGAAAGCUAUAUCUGGAACUCACCCAUCAACAGAACCUAAAGGACAAAGACCUUUAGCCUGUCUCUGCCUCUGAACACACCCAACCCCGGAGGAGCCAGCAGAGGAAAAAGAGGACAAAGGCGGGGAAGGGAGCAGGUGGUGCCCACCAAGUAAGGAACCCUGAGGCUUAGGCGGAACCUGAGCUGGAGAAGGGACUCAUCUAGGAACUGGGUAUGAGAUUAAAGUUUAGAUUGGUCUGGCCUGGAUUUUGUAACACCUAAACAAGAGUUAUUCUAUUCUUUUUUUGUGUUUUUUUUUUUGAGAUGGAGUCUCACUGUCCCCCAGGCUGGAGUGCAGUGGCGCUAUCUCAGCUCACUGCAACCUCUGCCUCCCAGGUUCAAGUGAUUCUCACGCCUCAGCCUCCCGAGUAGCUGGGAUUACAGGCGCACAACACCAUUCCCGGCUAAUUUUGUAUUUUUAGUAGAGAUAGAGU
rnacentral:lncRNA from 10 species